UUUAGAUUCCAUUGUGAUUGUGAUUGUAAUCUAAUCUUAAACACCUCCUCUUUCUCUGUUUUUUUUUCUUAAUGGUGGUUGUUAACCUAUUAUAUAUGAAUUGUGAUGGUGAUGGCGAGAUACAAUAUUGGAGCAUAAAUAAUGGAAGUUAUGCAAGAGUCUUCAAGGGUGGCAUCACUCAGAUGAGAUUUCAACCACGUCUAGGGAGGUACUUGGCUGCAGCUGCAGAGAAUGUUGUUUCUAUACUUGAUGUGGAGACACAAGGAUGCCGAUAUUCAUUAAAGAUUUAGCAUAUGGGACAAAUCAAGCAUGGAUAUAAAAUAUACAAGCAGAUUGACAUCCUUUUAACAAAUAUUAAUUACUAUUUUGUUAUGACAAUUAUUGUCGGACAAAAAUUUUAUUAUUUUAUUGAG